rnacentral:ncRNA from 1 species
CAGGUGCCGUGGGCUUAAUAGAGAAACCGGUGGGAUGCCGGUACGGUCACGCCACUGUAAUGGGGAGAGGCUUCAUGAUACGCCACUGGGGUUGCCCGGGAAGGUAUGAGGCCUUGAUGAGCCGGAGUCAGGAGAACUGCCUGUCUGU